rnacentral:rRNA from 1 species
GUCACGGUGAAUACGUUCCCGGGCCUUGUACACACCGCCCGUCACACCAUGGGAGUGGGUUGCUCCAGAAGUAGCUAGUCUAACCGCAAGGGGGACGGUUACCACGGAGUGAUUCAUGACUGGGGUGAAGUCGUAACAAGGUAGCCGUAGGGGAACCUGCGGCUGGAUCACCUCCUUA